rnacentral:rRNA from 1 species
GAGUAAUGUCUGGGAAACUGCCUGAUGGAGGGGGAUAACUACUGGAAACGGUGGCUAAUACCGCAUAACGUCGCAAGACCAAAGAGGGGGACCUUCGGGCCUCUUGCCAUCAGAUGUGCCCAGAUGGGAUUAGCUUGUUGGUGAGGUAACGGCUCACCAAGGCGACGAUCCCUAGCUGGUCUGAGAGGAUGACCAGCCACACUGGAACUGAGACACGGUCCAGACUCCUACGGGAGGCAGCAGUGGGGAAUAUUGCACAAUGGGCGCAAGCCUGAUGCAGCCAUGCCGCGUGUAUGAAGAAGGCCUUCGGGUUGUAAAGUACUUUCAGCGGGGAGGAAGGUGUUGUGGUUAAUAACCGCAGCAAUUGACGUUACCCGCAGAAGAAGCACCGGCUAACUCCGUGCCAGCAGCCGCGGUAAUACGGAGGGUGCAAGCGUUAAUCGGAAUUACUGGGCGUAAAGCGCACGCAGGCGGUCUGUCAAGUCGGAUGUGAAAUCCCCGGGCUCAACCUGGGAACUGCAUUCGAAACUGGCAGGCUUGAGUCUUGUAGAGGGGGGUAGAAUUCCAGGUGUAGCGGUGAAAUGCGUAGAGAUCUGGAGGAAUACCGGUGGCGAAGGCGGCCCCCUGGACAAAGACUGACGCUCAGGUGCGAAAGCGUGGGGAGCAAACAGGAUUAGAUACCCUGGUAGUCCACGCCGUAAACGAUGUCUACUUGGAGGUUGUGCCCUUGAGGCGUGGCUUCCGGAGCUAACGCGUUAAGUAGACCGCCUGGGGAGUACGGCCGCAAGGUUAAAACUCAAAUGAAUUGACGGGGGCCCGCACAAGCGGUGGAGCAUGUGGUUUAAUUCGAUGCAACGCGAAGAACCUUACCUGGUCUUGACAUCCACGGAAGAAUUCAGAGAUGGAUUUGUGCCUUCGGGAACCGUGAGACAGGUGCUGCAUGGCUGUCGUCAGCUCGUGUUGUGAAAUGUUGGGUUAAGUCCCGCAACGAGCGCAACCCUUAUCCUUUGUUGCCAGCGGUCCGGCCGGGAACUCAAAGGAGACUGCCAGUG